rnacentral:lncRNA from 1 species
AAAAACUGAGGAUUUCAAAUCCUCUCAACUCCCAUUCCUCGGCCGUUCCGAUUCGCCGCCACGGCCGGUGGCCGGCGUCGCGCAAAGGGGGCUCCCGAUCCGCACGUUGAAGCACCUUUAAAGGUCCGAGCCUUGGAAAGGGGAAUCGAGGAGAAAACAAGAUCUUUGGCCCCCUCUCGAGCCCGAAUCCGACGACGGCAAAGGACCAUCGCCGGCCGGUCUAAGGGCCGAUUCAGGUGCACUC